rnacentral:lncRNA from 10 species
AUUUCAGAUUUUUUUUUAAUUUCUAAAAUUGAGGAUAUUUUCAUUGUUCAAUGUUUAGGGCUUCUUAAGGACCUAACCUUAAGAAGAUAGGUCAAUUCCCAUCAACAUGUGUUUACAGAGCUCCCCAAUGAUUCAGAAACAAGCUGCUAACAUUGGCAUUAACAAUACAGAAGCAUCCUAAGGCUGGAGGUAGGGAAGUUGAUUUUCAUAUCAGAAUCCAAAUUAUUGGGUGAGGCUCAAGCAAUGGCCUGAGAUGGUAUUUUGAGAGCAAGAGAAGGCAGUGUCUAGUUGUAUAUUUUACGUUCAACAUCCUAAGGAAAUAAACAGUUCUGCAGCAACAGGGACAGCUCAGCAUCUGAGUCUGAGGCCUUUGUGCAUGGCAGUUUCAGAAUCUGCUGGGGUUUUCCCCAACCCUUCGCCUCCACUUGAAAGCAGAUCUAAGGGCAAGCUGGUCUCUCAAAAAGAAAUCACAUUCUCUCCUGCCACCAGAGGGCCCCAUCACCAGGUAACAUGGCAGAAAAUUGCUGGCAUCUGAGUAAAGGGCUAAGACUAGGAAGCUUGUUCCACCUCCCCACAUGGGGUGAGAAGGGAAGCCAUGAGUGCCUUGCCCAUGCCCCAUGUGCAGUUUUGCUUUGCUCCCUAAUUAGAAACAAUAAUAUCUCCCACACAUUGAGUGCUUACUUAAUCACAAUAGUCCUGUGAAGUACGUGCUAAAGAGGCUCAGAGUUGUUAAAUAAUCUGCCCAAAGCAUACAGCCAGAAAGGGAAGAGCCAGGAUUUGAAUCCGAGACUCUCUGAUUUCAAAGUUCAGAUUCUUAGUUGCAAUACUAUAUUUUUCCUGUUACUUGAAUAACUCAAGCAGCUUUUAGUUUAUCAUUUGGGACCUAGAGGUGAGUUUAAGGAAUGCAAUGACCAUGCUACAUGAGAAUCCAGCUUAUGAAAUGAUCCUCUUUCUAGGGGGAGGUGGGCUCCUUCCAACUUAGCAAGAAGGAAGCAAAGAAUUGGGAGCAAUAAGGAAAGAGGAAGUAGAGGAGCCUAGCGACAUCCUAAAAUGGCUGUGGCUCAGGGGUUCCCUGAUUCUGUUUCCUUUCACCAAAUCUAGAGCUGUGAUGUUAUCCAGGCUAAAGUGCAAAGGCACCCUGGUUCAAGAUGCAGGUGCUCUCAGCCUAAAAUGGAAACAGUCAGGGAAAGACCAGAAGACUGUGGAGGGGCGACCAGGGCUGAACAGGCUUGAGGAGCCUCUUGGGAAGUAAGUCAAUCUAAGGAAUAGCUGCCAAAGCCCAGGCAGAGAUGCCUGAAAAGUGCCUCUGAGCAAUAGAGGAAGAAUGACACUGAGGACCACCCUUUGACUCAUCUCGUGGCUCAGUCCCUAGGGACUUGUGCCCAAAUCAUGGGGAAAGAAAACAACCUGGAUGGAAUGUUUUACCCAUCGUUUCUUUAAGACUUUGAGAGUAAGGGAUCAUACCACUGUGGGACCAGUGUAACAGACAAUGGUACAAGGUUGGGAGAAAGGGGUUUUUUCCAUUGCAGAAGAUAUGAGCAGAAGUAGCACCAGUAUCAGGGGGCAAGAACAGCAGUACUCUUAAUGGUGGACAGAAUGGCAUUGUGCUCCCACUGAGAGAUGCCAAGAGCCUUAGCCACAGCAGGAAGCCAAGCAAUGGCCUGAGGUGGUAUUUUGAGAGCAAGAGAAGACAGAACCCUUGGUAUAACUCUCUUGGCACCAUCCAUGGGGAAUACCACCAGCAGCAACAGUGAUGAAACUACCAGGGAAACAAACAUUUUGGCAACCAAAACUGAGGAGGCUUAUUUGUCCAUCAUGUAUACCUCUGGGAAUACCUGUAAAUAACUAGGAGGAUGGCUAAAGAAGGGAUAGAAGUUCAAUAUUUCGCUGUUUUCCUAAAUGUCUAAGGAGUCAUAAAAGUCUAUUUAAUUUUCAUUAAGAUUAAUUCACUUUCAUUAAAAUUCGUUUCUUUCAUCUACCACAAUGAGGCCAUUCAAGAGAAAACAUGACUUAUAAAAAAUGUAACCCCCAAAUUUGGAGUUUAGUGGAGGCAAGCUAGGUCCAAGAGUUAUAACCUGGCCCUAGGGUGUCAGGGAGGCAGCUUUCCAGGCAUAGCCUCUAUAGAAAGAGCUUACAUAACUCCCUUAAGGAAGGAGUAAUGUAUCUUAAAGUAAUGGAUCAAUGGUCUGGUUCCAGUAGAUUCUUGAGGUUUACAUAUAAGGAAAUGCAUGUUUGUAGGAAGAAUUCCAUAGCAGACUGGAGCUGUGUUACUUAACUUUAGAGGCUACUUCUAGCUCCAAUGUUCUGUUGCUCUUUGAAAAGUCAAAAAAAAAAAUAGGAGUGAGAAGAAGAUAUCAGAAUGAUCUCCUUUCCAAGGUGCCAUCUGAAUUAAGACAAGCUUCACCUAUUUUUCUGGCUUUCAGUAAAUGACAAAAAAACAAGUGUACAUUCUCUCUCAAUGAUUUGAUCUUCAAAACUAGACUUCUGCUAAAAUUGCAAAAACUUUGUGGUUUUCAAUAGAAAUGUUCACUGUCAUGUUCUCUUAUGAAAUUGCUUUCUUUUCACUACACAGAAGGAAAGAUCUAAAGAGGUCUCCAAAUUUCUGUUGGGGCCUCUAAGUGUCUGCACUCAGUGAUGUCACAGAUUUCUGUUGUUUAGCUAUCACUGAAACCUAUAUUGUAUCAUUUUCCCCUUUCAGUUAAACGUUGCCCUCAUCUUGUGGUAACCCUCAUUUUUUAAAAUGCUCCUUUCAAUUUCUAACAUCAUUCAUGUAUUUAACUUCCCAGAGAAUUUCACAACAGGGCCCUGAAAGUUUGGAGAGUGCCAGGAACAAGGGUGUACCUGGGCCUUGACAAUGCCUAGGACUGGGGUGGAAUGGAAGUAACCUUUGCUUUCUUCUUACUGAAGAUUCAGCAAAGAAUAUAAGCCUACAGAGAGCCAGCUCUGGGUUCACUGUGCUCCAUUUCUUUCUGAACAUUUCCAUAAAGCAACACCUCCCUACCCAAACUGUAAUGCUAUUUCAUCUAGAUAGCUAUAUCCUUGUAUAUGUCACAUGUGACCCUGCAUAGGUUUCCCUCCGGGAAUUUCUGGGUCAAGGGGUAUAUAUAUACAUAUACUUCCAACAGAUUGCCCUCCAGAAUGGCUCACCAGUUUCCACUCCCACCAGCAGUGCAUGAGGAUUCUCAUUUUUUCACAUCUGUGCCAACAAUGAUACCAUCUGACUUUCUCAUUUUUACCAAUCUGAUGGGUGUAAAAUGAGUCUCAUUAUGGUUUUAAUUUAUAGCUCUCUCAUUACUUAUGAUGUUGGGGAUGUCUUCAUGAGCAUCUUUUGUUUAAAUGCAGCUUAUGCAGAUAACAUAAGUGUGGAUCUUGUUUUUAAUCCAAUCUGAAAGGAUCUGCUUUUGAUUUUGACUGCUGUCUGAAUCGUGUGCACGGUUGUGGGACAUUUGGACUACAGAUAAGAAAAUGUGGCACAUAUACACCAUGGAAUAGUAUGCAGCCAUAAAAAAUGAUGAGUUCAUGUCCUUUGUAGGGACAUGGAUGAAAUUGGAAAUCAUCAUUCUCAGUAAACUAUCGCAAGGACAAAAAACCAAACACCGCAUGUUCUCACUCAUAGGUGGGAAUUGAACAAUGAGAACACAUGGACACAGGAAGGGCAACAUCACACUCUGGGGACUGUUGUGGGGUGGGGGGAGGGGGGAGGGAUAGCAUUAGGAGAUACACCUAAUGCUAAAUGACGAGUUAACGGGUGCAGCACACCAGCAUGGCCCAUGUAUACAUAUGUAACUAACCUGCACAUUGUGCACAUGUACCCUAAAACUUAAGUAUAAUAAUAAUAAAAAAAAAGAAAAAAAAAGGAGAGAUUAAUAACACAUAAAUAGCCAACUGGUGGAGCAAAACUCUCACAACCAGCCCAGGACCACCUGCCACUUGAUUCGUAUGUACGAGAGAAAUAAUUUAUCUAGUGUAUUCUAUUUUUUAUUUUUUCUAUUGCUCCUGUAACAAAUUACCACUGUAUUAGUAGCUUAAAACAACUUGAAUUUAUUUUCAUACAGUUUUGGAUGUCAGAAGUCCAAAAUUCAAGGUGCAGGACUGCUUUCUUUCUGGAGGCCCUAGGGGAAGAAUCUGUUUCCCUGCUUUUUCCAGUGUGUAGAAGUCACCUACAUUCCUUAGGUCACGGCCUCUUCCUUGCAUUACAGCAACCUCUGCUUCAGUCAUCACAUUUUCUUUUCUGACUCUGCGCCUCCUCCCUCUCUCAUGUGAAGACUCUUGUGAUUACAUGGCGCCCACUCAAAUUGUUCAUG